rnacentral:lncRNA from 1 species
AGCUUUUGAUCAAGCAGUUAGAGAGAAACAAACGAGAAGCUGAAAAAGAGAAGAAAAGGAUGGAGCGUGAAGCUCAGAAGGAAAAAUUGAAGAGUGUGAGUCAUUCUCUUCAACCUGCUGAUUAUACUCAUUGCUGCAGGCAUAUUUUUAAAAGAGUGCUCUUAGUGGUUUGAUACACUGCACAAAAUUAUUAGGGCUGUUUAAUAAAACCAGCAUACCAAGCCUUGCGAGCUAUGUUUGCUAUAUUUGGUAUGCCUUUAGAAUAACUUCCCGAUUGAUCCUUUUUAUGAUUAAAUCUAUCUAUGCAGGAAAAAGAGCUAAAACGACUACAAAGUGAAGCAGAGAAAGAGGAAAAGAAGUUUGAGAAAGAAGAAUCUAAACUGAAAAAGCAGAUGAUGAAAGAACAAGAAGAAGCUGAGAAAGAUCGACGUCGCAAGGAAAAGGAAGAAGCUGAAGUUAAAAAGCAACUUACUUUACAAAAGCAAGC